GUCUGGGCUAAUGAGUCCAUGGAAAGGAGUGUCUUGUGCCCAGGGCAUGUAGAGCUGAAACAUAAAUAAUGAAGAAGAGAGAGAGAGAGAUCUGUGAGAAUGAGCACAUCCAGAGCAGGCCACAGAGGAAAAGAAUAAAACCGACCUGUUACCUACAUAAUUUUUUCUUUCAAGGCAGGGCUUACAGUGUUCAUGUGUCUACAUGUUAAAUUCUCCGUCUCAGAGAAGGAAGCCUAUGGAGACUUAAUUUGUAUGAUGAAGCAACAGUUAUCUCAGGGACAAAGCUUGCGAACCAAGUCUUGCAAGAAGUUCAAAGGGAUGUAGAAUCGUGGAUAUCCGUUGGGAACAAGAGACCUCAUCUCACUGUCAUAUUAGUGGGAGACAAUCCAGCCAGUCAUAUCUAUGUCAGGAACAAGAUAAAAGCAGCUGCAGCUGUGGGCAUUUCUAGUGAGAUCAUUGUGAGGCCUAAAGACGUUUCUGAGGAAGAGCUCUUAGAUCUGACAGUGCGACUCAACAAGGAUUCGAGAGUCAGUGGCUUGUUAGUUCAGCUUCCUCUGCCAGGUAGGUGACACCUUUUGUCCCGCUCCUCCUCUCCAGUCUGUGUGAGAGGAAAGAGUGUGAGGCUUUUGGGCUGCUUGGGGACAUGAGAAGCUGUUGAGAGAGGACACGCAUCCUGAAGGAUUAGGUGAGAUGGUAAUUGUUUUGUUCCACCUGCUGUUCAUUUUAAACCAAAAACCAAAUUGUGAGAAUCAUUUCCUAUGUCAAACUUGCCUUUUUUUACGAUCAGUCAGGGUGGUGUUUCAAGGCAUUUCCCUCCACUCCUAAUUUAUCCGGUUGAAUUGUCUUUAUUUUUCAACCUGUUGCAGUGUUUUGCCUUAGCUCCAUACUUUCAUCCCUUAGAUGAUGCUGAGUUGUGCUAUGCAGGAGAUGAUGCCACAGCCUUUCUCACAGCGAUUGCAGGUUUUGCCUUCAGCAUUUAUUCCUGUUUUCUAUGCUGUCCCUGAUGUUCCAGGUGAGCUUUGUGCAGAAGUCCCAAAAGCCUUGACUGAAAUCUUGGUUUUUUAAUUUGCCUUCUCCUAAUUUGUAGUAUAAUCUCACUGAAAUAUCACUUGGCAGUAGGUGGCCAAGUGGUAAUUUUACAGUGAUGAAAGUUGUAAAAAAAGCCCUGAACUAAACUAAAAGCAUUUUCCAUCUGUGAAAGAGCAAAAGUGGGGCAGGUGCUGAGGGUUGUAGAGGAAGAAGUGCUUUGUUUGUAUUUGCAAUAAAGAGCAGCGCUGGUGGUGAGGGGAGUUUGCACUUGGUAUGCCAGGAGAGCUGCCU